rnacentral:rRNA from 1 species
AAGUCGAGCGAACAGAUAAGGAGCUUGCUCCUUUGAAGUUAGCGGCGGACGGGUGAGUAACACGUGGGUAACCUACCUAUAAGACUGGGAUAACUUCGGGAAACCGGAGCUAAUACCGGAUAACAUUUAGAACCGCAUGGUUCUAAAGUGAAAGAUGGUUUUGCUAUCACUUAUAGAUGGACCCGCGCCGUAUUAGCUAGUUGGUAAGGUAACGGCUUACCAAGGCGACGAUACGUAGCCGACCUGAGAGGGUGAUCGGCCACACUGGAACUGAGACACGGUCCAGACUCCUACGGGAGGCAGCAGUAGGGAAUCUUCCGCAAUGGGCGAAAGCCUGACGGAGCAACGCCGCGUGAGUGAUGAAGGGUUUCGGCUCGUAAAACUCUGUUAUUAGGGAAGAACAAAUGUGUAAGUAACUGUGCACAUCUUGACGGUACCUAAUCAGAAAGCCACGGCUAACUACGUGCCAGCAGCCGCGGUAAUACGUAGGUGGCAAGCGUUAUCCGGAAAUUAUUGGGCGUAAAGCGCGCGUAGGCGGUUUCUUAAGUCUGAUGUGAAAGCCCACGGCUCAACCGUGGAGGGUCAUUGGAAACUGGGAAACUUGAGUGCAGAAGAGGAAAGUGGAAUUCCAUGUGUAGCGGUGAAAUGCGCAGAGAUAUGGAGGAACACCAGUGGCGAAGGCGACUUUCUGGUCUGUAACUGACGCUGAUGUGCGAAAGCGUGGGGAUCAAACAGGAUUAGAUACCCUGGUAGUCCACGCCGUAAACGAUGAGUGCUAAGUGUUAGGGGGUUUCCGCCCCUUAGUGCUGCAGCUAACGCAUUAAGCACUCCGCCUGGGGAGUACGACCGCAAGGUUGAAACUCAAAGGAAUUGACGGGGACCCGCACAAGCGGUGGAGCAUGUGGUUUAAUUCGAAGCAACGCGAAGAACCUUACCAAAUCUUGACAUCCUUUGAAAACUCUAGAGAUAGAGCCUUCCCCUUCGGGGGACAAAGUGACAGGUGGUGCAUGGUUGUCGUCAGCUCGUGUCGUGAGAUGUUGGGUUAAGUCCCGCAACGAGCGCAACCCUUAAGCUUAGUUGCCAUCAUUAAGUUGGGCACUCUAGGUUGACUGCCGGUGACAAACCGGAGGAAGGUGGGGAUGACGUCAAAUCAUCAUGCCCCUUAUGAUUUGGGCUACACACGUGCUACAAUGGACAAUACAAAGGGCAGCUAAACCGCGAGGUCAUGCAAAUCCCAUAAAGUUGUUCUCAGUUCGGAUUGUAGUCUGCAACUCGACUACAUGAAGCUGGAAUCGCUAGUAAUCGUAGAUCAGCAUGCUACGGUGAAUACGUUCCCGGGUCUUGUACACACCGCCCGUCACACCACGAGAGUUUGUAACACCCGAAGCCGGUGGAGUAACCAUGUUAAGA